CCUACGGGUGGCAGCAGUGAGGAAUAUUGGUCAAUGGACGAGAGUCUGAACCAGCCAAGUAGCGUGAAGGAUGACUGCCCUAUGGGUUGUAAACUUCUUUUAUAUGGGAAUAAAAUGUUCCACGUGUGGGAUUUUGUAUGUACCAUAUGAAUAAGGAUCGGCUAACUCCGUGCCAGCAGCCGCGGUAAUACGGAGGAUCCGAGCGUUAUCCGGAUUUAUUGGGUUUAAAGGGAGCGUAGAUGGGUUGUUAAGUCAGUUGGGAAAGUUUGCGGCUCAACCGUAAAAUUGCAAUUGAUACUGGCAGUCGUGAGUACAGUUGAGGUAGGCGGAAUUCGUGGUGUAGCGGUGAAAUGCUUAGAGAUCACGAAGAACCACGAUUGCGAAGGCAGCUUACUAAACUGUGACUGACAUUGAUGCUCGAAAGUGUGGGUAUCAAACAGGAUUAGAUACCCUGGUAGUC
rnacentral:rRNA from 1 species